rnacentral:rRNA from 1 species
CCUACGGGAGGCAGCAGUGAGGAAUAUUGGUCAAUGGGCGGAAGCCUGAACCAGCCAAGUCGCGUGAGGGAUUAAGGCCCUGCGGGUCGUAAACCUCUUUUGCCGGGGAGCAGAGGUCCGGACGUGUCCGGGCCGGGAGAGUACCCGGAGAACAAGCAUCGGCUAACUUCGUGCCAGCAGCCGCGGUAAUACGGAGGAUGCGAGCGUUAUCCGGAUUAAGUGGGUUUAAAGGGUGCGUAGGCGGGCAUUUAAGCCGACGGUCAAAUGUCGGGGCUCAACCCCGACCUGCCGUCGGAACUGGGUGCCUUGAGUAGGCGAGAAGUAUGCGGAAUGCGUGGUGUAGCGGUGAAAUGCAUAGAUAUCACGCAGAACCCCGAUUGCGAAGGCAGCAUACCGGCGCCCUACUGACGCUGAGGCACGAAAGCGUGGGGAUCAAACAGGAUUAGAUACCCCUGUAGUC